rnacentral:tRNA from 1 species
UGUUCUGUGGCUUAGUUGGUUAAAGCGCCGGUCAAGCGCAUACGGAAUCGUGGGCUCGAAUCCCACCAGGACAU